rnacentral:rRNA from 1 species
CGAACGCUGGCGGCGUGCCUAAUACAUGCAAGUCGAACGAACGGAGCUAGGAACUUGUUCCCGGCAAAGUUAGUGGCGCACGGGUGAGUAACACGUGGAGAACCUACCCUUUUGCGGGGGAUAACCAUUGGAAACGAUGACUAAUACCGCAUAGAAUCGCAGAUCGCAUGAUCAACGAAGGAAAGACGGCUUCGGCUGUCACAAAAGGAUGGCUCCGCGGUGCAUUAGCUAGAUGGUGGGGUAACGGCCUACCAUGGCAAUGAUGCAUAGCCGACCUGAGAGGGUGAUCGGCCACAUUGGGACUGAGACACGGCCCAAACUCCUACGGGAGGCAGCAGUAGGGAAUCUUCCGCAAUGGGCGCAAGCCUGACGGAGCAACGCCGCGUGUGUGAAGAAGGUCUUCGGAUCGUAAAGCACUGUUGUUAGAGAAGAACGACCGCUAGAGUAACUGUUAGCGGAGUGACGGUAUCUAACCAGAAAGCCACGGCUAACUAC